CAACUGCCGAGCGACUUCCCAUCCUCCUCUAGGCAAUCCCCGCCAUGUCUUAUCGCACCAGGAACUCCUCUGCAAACAUCUACGAUGAGAAUACAAAUGUUCGCGGGAAGCGCACCCGCUACAG
rnacentral:ribozyme from 1 species